AAACCACAAAGGGCAUACGGUGGAUGACUUGGCGUCAAGAGGCGAUGAAAGACGUUGGAACCUGCGAAAAGCUACAGGGAGCUGGUAACCGAGCUGUGAUCUGUAGAUCUCUGAAUGGGGAAACCCACCCGCAAGGGUAUCGUACGCUGAAUGCAUAGGCGUGCGAGGCGAACCUGGGGAACUGAAACAUCUAAGUACC
rnacentral:rRNA from 14 species